UCUCACAUACACCAGCUGACCUGCUGAUUGGUUGGGGAAAGAGGGGUCUUAUGAUACACUUGCUGAUUGGUUGGAGGGGAGUAUAAAGCCUCCAUAGGGGCGGGGUGAGAAGUGGGCCACAUACCUUUCCUAGUAGGAGUAGGAAAGAGGAGGCCAGGUUGCUCAAGGUGGGGGAAGGAGCAUUACAGUGAGACAAGUGGGGUGAUAAUAAUUCUUGUCUUGGCCAGAGGCUUUGCAUUCAGUCUCCUUGAAGAGGCCUUGAAGCCCAGCUUAGAGCAUCUGAGUGGUUCUAACUGCGAGUUUAGUCAGACUGCAAGCAGAAGUCCGCCCAGGUUUCAGGCAACUGAACACUUGCCUUGGGGCUACAGAAUCUGCUUCCAAGUCGGCUCACUCAUGUGGCUGUUGCUACAAAGGAGGUGCGGUUUCCAUCCCUGGCUCAGGGGCAGUGGUUCUUGGAUUCAGUUCCUGGCCCAGGAACUUCCAUAUGCUGAGAGUAUGGCCAUGAAAAAAUAAUUAAUUAACAUAUACUUUAUGGUGUAGUGUGCCAUGCACAAGGCUGUUGAUGAUUGGCCCAAUUUUGCCUUUUUCUCUUGUUUUGACUUUUUUUUUUCCCCCUAGUCGAGGUCAGGAGUAUGUAUAGUUCAACUAGUUCUACAAAGUUUGUUAGACAAACAGCAUUCCUCCAUUGUCCCCCCUCCUGUUUUCCCUUCUCUGGGGCCAAUAUUUUCAACUCUCCUAAUAUUUAUUCUGUAUAGUUAAAUUGCUAAUGCUGACUCUUUCAGUUUUUGGCCCUCUCCAUUAAUUUAUCCUUUGCCUGUGGAAGGACUUACCAUUACUUUCUACCUCUCUUUUCUCCACUUUCCAUCUCCACCCUCUCCAUAUGUUUAUAUUGUAAUUUUGGCUUGAGAAACAUUUAUUAUUUCUUUUACAUGUUUACAUAUGCCUUGCAGAACUGGGGCUGUAAAGUAGUCUUUUGCUUUUUCUGGAAUUAGCAAUUGCCUUUUCAUUGUUGCUGCUGUUUAUUUGUGCAGUUCUCUGUGUGUUUGUCAUUGAUUCAAUCCCCAAAUCUCAAUUUCACCUUCCUGACAAAAUCUAGGGGUAUCUAACCUGCCCAGUCUGGUCUGGAUGCCCUCUACUCUCAAACACAGCUGUCAGCCUGGGCUAGUCCUUUAAUCCAGAGAAUUCCUCUCAUCUCCUGCUUCUCUGUGUUGUACUGGGUUAAAUAUUGUCUCUCCCCUCCCAAAUUCAUGUUUUUCUCAGAACCUUAGAAUGUGACAUUAUUUAAAAAUAGGCUUAUUAGAAGGGGAGUUCCUGUUGUGGCUCAGAAGAUUAAGAAUCUGACUAGUAUCCAUUUAAGGAUCCGGCGUUGUCACAAAUGCAGCUUGGAUCUGGUGUUGCCAUGGCUGAGUGUAGGCCACAGGUUUGGCUCUGAUUUGACCCCUAGCUUGGUAUCUUUCAUAUGCUGUGGUACAGCCCUGGAAAAAAAAAAAAAAAAAGGAAAGAGAUAUAGAGAUAGACACACACAAAAGAAAAACUAUGUGAUGAUGGAGGAGAGAUUGGAAUUCUGUCACAAGCCAAGGAAUGCCUGGGUCCACUAGAAGCUGGAAAAUGCAAGAGAGAAUCUUCUCCUUGAGGUUUCAGAGAAAGCAUGGCCCUGUUCACACCAUGAUUUUGGAUUUCUGGCCUUUAGGACUGUGUAAAUUUCUGUUGGUUUAAACUAUCCAGUUUGUGGUAAGUUGCUGUGGCAGCCCCAGGGAAUUAAAAUAUUUUGUUCUGUUUUGGUUUGAUUUUGUUUUUGCUUUUAGUUUCUACCUUCAUUUGGUAGAGUAUACCUU
rnacentral:lncRNA from 1 species